rnacentral:lncRNA from 1 species
UCUCCACGGUCUCAUGUGCUUCAUUGCUAUUCUCAACAUUCUCGGAUGUCAUUUUCAAAUACUACCAUAAAACAAGGGUUAAUUAACAUAUCACAUAUUAUCCCUAUACUCUGACCGACCAAUUAAAUACCAAAUAAACCAAGGUAGGUCGUACUAGCAAAGGAAUUUCCCGUCUCUCCCCUCCUAGUUCUAUUCUCACAUCUUAGCCAGGGAUCAUAUCCCUAAGCUUUGAUACCAACUGUGAUGCCCCCAAAAUUAGGUAUACAUCACCCAUCUUGGGUCGCCAGAUACAUGGUACAGAAUUCAAAUACAACUAAAUAAUGCAACUGUCGUGUACAAUACGACAAAACAUAAACUGUGAGUUUGAAUACAAAUAUUGUCUACUAGAGAUUAUACAAACUCAAAAGGAGUCAUCGUUACAAUUAUUAUCACACUAUUUCACAGAAUAGUGAGGACUACUAAUGCACCAUCUAGGAC